GAAAUGCGAUACCUGGUGUGAAUUGCAGAAUCCCGCGAACCAUCGAGUCUUUGAACGCAAGUUGCGCCCGAGGCCUCUUGGCCGAGGGCACGCCUGCCUGGGCGUCACGCCAAACACGCUCCCACCCCACUAACCUGGGGCGGGACGCGGCAUGUGGCUCCUCGUCUCGCAAGGGGCGGUGGGCCGAAGAUCCGGCUGCCGGCGUAUCGUGCCGGACACAGCGCGUGGUAGGCGACCUCGCUUUACUAAACGCAGUGCAUCCGGCGCGUAGCCGACGCGAUGGCCUCAAUGGACCCUUUUAACGGAGUGCAUGACGCUUCGACCGCGACCCCAGGUCAGGCGGGACUACCCGCUGAAUUUAA
rnacentral:misc_RNA from 1 species